rnacentral:rRNA from 1 species
CCUACGGGAGGCAGCAGUGAGGAAUAUUGGUCAAUGGCCGGAAGGCUGAACCAGCCAUGCCGCGUGAAGGUCAGUGCCCUAUGGGCGUUAAACUUCUUUUGUGCGGGAGCAAUAAUGGUCACGUGUGGCCAGACGAGAGUACCGUACGAAUAAGCAUCGGCUAACUCCGUGCCAGCAGCCGCGGUAAUACGGGGGAUGCAAGCGUUAUCCGGAUUUAUUGGGGUUAAAGGGUGCGUAGGCUGUGAGGUAAGUCAGCGGUGAAAUGCCCCCGCUCAACGGGGUGAAGUGCCAUUGAUACUGCCUUGCUGGAAUGCGGAUGCCGGAGGAGGAAUGUGUGGUGUAGCGGUGAAAUGCAUAGAUAUCACACAGAACACCGAUUGCGAAGGCAUCUCACGAAUCCGCGAUUGACGCUGAUGCACGAAAGCGUGGGUAUCAAACAGGAUUAGAUACCCGAGUAGUC